rnacentral:rRNA from 1 species
AUGGCAUUUGUUGUCUUAUUCGGAGUUCAAGGAAUAGCCUUUCAUCUUGGGAAUGAGAAUGUCGCGGAUCUCAAUGUUCUCGUCAUCACCAAUGCUCCUAACGAGGGUGACUUUCCCAUAGACCAACCUCCCAUUGGCGGACUACCAGACCUCCAGCAGGAAAUGGCGCACGCCGCCCAUCCCGAAGACAUAAUUGCGGAGUUGACUUCCAAGGUUGAAAGAAUAUUUCACGAAGUAGGCACUCCUCUUCCUUUAGAGGAAGGUGAAUCUGCGUGA